UUGGGCUUGAGCGUUGACCAAGGGAUGCCGGAUGCGCAGUUUAUCACGGCGUCGUACUUCGUUCCGGAGGGGCUCUCCAAGGCGGCGCCGCCGGGGGACUUGUAGUCCAGCACCUCGUCGGCGCCCAGAUUCUUCACCAGCUCCAGGUUCCUCUCGCCGCAGGUGGCGGUGACGUGGACGCCGCCGGCGAGCUUAAGGAGCUGGACGGCGUAGUGGCCGACGCCGCCGGAGGCGGCGGUGACCAGAACGUUGACCGGCUUGUCCCCGCCGUCGAGGUUGAUACCGACGCUGCGGAGGCUGUGGAGGGCGGUGAGGCCGGCCAUGGGGAUGCCGGAGCCUUCCGCCGCCGAGAUUCCGGCGGGUCGGUGGACGGUGAGCUUCUCCUCCGCCGCCACGUACUCGGCGAGGCCGCCGGCCGCCUGCUCACAGAUCAUUUUGUUCACAGAAAGCACAGCGAAUUUUGACGACGGGGAUUGACCCCUGAUUGAGAGGGAUUUUGAGGAUUCUUGACGGAUUUUUGGACACAAAAUCAAUCAAUCUAUUUUAUCGUUCUUCCCUUUUUUUUUGAAAAAAAAAUAUUUUUCACUCGCAGGAUAUGAAUUCGGAGAUUUUCACUUGGGAAGAAAGAUGGGGGCAUUGAGUUGGGAAAAAAAAACCCGACAUUAUAAAUAGUAUGCAUUUCUAUUUUAUUUUAUUUUAUAAUAUUAUUUGGUGUUCAUUCUCUCAGAGAUAAUUGCUUAAAAAGAGGAGGUGGGGGGGUUCAAGCUGUAUGGUGAUGAACUUACCAUAAAAUGAAGCAAGGCUAUGACCUUGUCACCUGCUUUGAAAGAGGUCACCCCAGGGUCAACUUCCACGACCUCUCCGGCCACACAGGUCCCUAUUUCGUAGGAAAACAGCAAGAUCAAACCUCUUUUAUAAGGUAGAAUGAAACUAGCGUUGACUUUAUGAUAUUCAGGGGGGAUAUGUCAAAUUUAGCCACUUUUGUCUGGGUUUCGAGGGAAGAUCAAAUGAGACCCAAGAUUUUAUUUCGAGUGAGCAUAAAUAAGGAUUAGAAGAUAAGAAAACCCAUCUGAGCUUCUAAUUUUCAUUGGAAAUUCGUCCAGGUUUUCAGUGAAGAUAAAUAAUGAGAAUACGAGAAGAAUCGAACCCAUCUAGGUAGGGGAUCAUAAUUUCAUCGGGAAAUGGCCGUAUUUGACCAAUUUUGGCAAAAAAUGAUAGAGUAAAAGGAGCUCAUGAUCUUCGUGAGGGAACAAUCAGAUGAGCUUAUUUUAACCAGAAGAAACCAAUUUUGGCAUGGAUUUCAACGACGAAUAAAUAGAUAAACAAACAAGAAGCCCACAUCAAGCUUCUGAUUCACGAAAAAGCUCUUGGAUUUUGAGAAAUACUGCAAAAUAGUAAUAAUAAUCGAAGCAAUUAUCACCUGGCGUGAAGGGAAAUUUCGGUGGAAGAAAGGGGCGCAGCAUCCCCUUCUGAAUCUUCCAGUCGGCGGGAUUCAAGCUCGUCGCUUCCACUUUCAGCAGGAGUUGACCUUUCUUCGGAGAAGGGAUUGGAACCUCCACGAGCUGCCGCGUGAUCCCAUAAAUAGGAGCCGGGCAAGUUAAUCGAAGCAGUUCCGGUGGACUUAACCAAAAUUCGAGGGCUCAUCGCCAUCCCUCCAGACGGGGGACGACAAAGGGAACAAAGAAGAGCUAGCCAGGGCGAGCUUGAAGCCAGUUUACCUUGAGCGCCGCCCCUCCGCCGCCGUAGCGAUCAUACUGAACCGCGCGCAUGAGUUUGGCGGCCAUUGGGAGGGAUCCCCCCUUGGCUACGACGAAGAGAGGGGGAAGGUUGCAGCCUGGAGUUGCAGGAGUUGACCUUUCUUCGAGCCAACACGGAUGGCGGCGCCGUCGGUAUCGUCGUCCGUUAUAUAAUGUCGCCGCCGGGGGAAUCGACGACGGCAGCCGUGUGGAAGGAGGGCCGGUGACCGUGGAGGGGCAGUUUAGAACGAUGCCUCUGGAAGAUGCUCCUCAGGCCCCCGGAUUGCUUAUUUAACCUUCCCAGAUUGGUAAGAAGAGGCGACUUUCAGAUGAAACAAACAGACCAUCUUGGGCUGGCCCAUCUUAUCGGGGCAUUAUCUUCGUUCCCACAGAAAUUCAAAAGUCAACGCUAGCGCCGACGGAGAGCUUACUAGAUUAUUCGAUGACAGAUAGCCGUCGGAUGGAGAGUUCCUUCCCAUUUAUAGAAGGUGAUUGAGUAGUUUGACUCGGCCCCUCAGGGCCCCAUCUCCACGAUGAUCUUCCCCGUGGCGUGGCCGUCGAUGCUCUUGGCCCAGGCCGCCUCCGCCUGGCUCAGAGGAUGCCUCGAGUCAACGACCGUCUUCAGCUUCCCUUCCUUCACCAAGCUCACUAGAAACUCCAGGUCCUCCUUGUUGGCGGCCCGGAAGAGGGGCACCAGCUGCUUCUUGGAGAAGGUGAUCUUCUUGACGGCGGCGCUGAGGUAGGUGGCGGGGGUCGGGGUGAUUUCGAUCACCUUCCCCUUCUUCGACAGGGUGGGCUCGAACGUUGACCAAGGGAUCCUGGUGGCGCAAUGGAUCACGACGUCAUACUUCUUCCCAGAGGCGCUCUCCAAGGCGGCGCCGCCAGGGGUCUUGUAGUCCAGCACCUCGUCGGCGCCCAGAUUCUUCACCAGCUCCAGGUUCCUCGCUCCGCAGGUGGCGGUGACGUGGCAAUUGCCUAGCUUUGCCAGCUGGACCACGUACAUGCCCACCCCGCCGGAGGCGGCAGUGACCAGGAUGUUGGCGGCGUUCUCGCCGCCGCCGCCGCGGCCAAAGCUGACCCCGGCGGCCUUCAGGCUCUGGAAGGCGGUGAGCCCCGCUACCGGCAGGCUCGCUCCGUCGGCGGCAGACACCUCCGCCGGCCUCUUCACCGUUUUGCUCGCUGAUGCCACCGCAUAUUCAGCGAGCCCUCCCCCUCCCUGACCAAAAAAGCCAUCAUUAAUUAAUUUAAUUAUUUAUCAGCAAGAAAAUUUAGAAUAAUUGAUUUACACAUAUCUCAAUUGAUUGACUAAAAUAAGAGGCAAUAAUAUAAUGCGACGUGAGAGCUCACCAGGACGGAGAGCAUCGACACCACUUUGUCACCGGCCCUGAGAGAGUCAACGUUAGAGCCCACUUCAACCACCUCGCCUGCCAUGUCAGUGACUGCAACAUAGGAAAACCGGAUGAGUCAUCAGGACCUAACCCCGUGGAAUGAUCUACUAUGAAAUUAAUUUGAAAAAAAUGGCGUAAAAUUCCGUCUGGAAGCAGUAACAGCAGAAGUGGUCUGAGAUAUGAAUCAUCGAAAAUAAUCUGUAAAUAAAUAUUCCACAGAAAUAAAAGCGCAUAUAGGAAAAAAAAACUAGAAAAAAUUGCCGUUAUACCCGUUAUUAUGAAUAUGAUCAUGCAUUUGCAUAAAUUAAGCCUUAUAAUGUCAUUAAUUGCCUCGGUAAAAUUCUUUAAAGGUAUCAGAGCAACUGCAGAAUAGAAGACAGAGACAAGCAAGAGAAAAUAGAGUGCUCACAUUUAUCUCUUGCUGUUAACAUUUUUGAGGGGGAAGAGAGAGAUCAAACUGAUAAGAACAUAACCCAAUAAGAAAGUCAACGCGAGUUUCCAUGCAGAGUAUUGGUUUCCAAUCAACACAUGAUAGAGCAGUUCCAAGUUUUGAUAGUCAACGCUUUGCUCUAUAUAAUGCUUGAACUCACGAGCAUUAUAACUUCUAGAAAAAAUACCUGAAUAAUUAAUCUCGUGCAAAAAAAUAUACACAGAGAAUUGUCAAAUCAACAAAAUGGAAAGAUCAAGCAUAAAGUGAUGAAAAGUAAUGAUCCAGAGUCAACGCCACCAAAUAAAGCUAAUCCGAGCAGCAUCAGCGAUAGAAGGCUCGAACCACUUGAGUGGAAUACCUGGCACGAAUGGAAAUUUUAGUGGAAGAAAUGGGCGUAUCAAACCAUUCUGGAUCUUCCAGUCAACGGGGUUUAUACUAGAAGCUUCCAACUUCAGCAAGACCUCGUCUUUCUUUGGUGAAGGAAUGGGAACUUCAACAUGCUACAUUAAGAAUAUGUCAAGAAAUGACUAUUCAAGGAAGCUAAAGAGCGAAAAAUAAUUAUUAAAUAAUGCACCGAAGAUUGGAAAAAAUAUUUUUCCUGAAACAUUUCGAAAAUCACUCUGCAUCCAGGUGUGUUCAAUAAAUCUAUCACCACAUGUAUCGAGCAUCAGAGCUGCUAAGAACAACAAAUGCGUAUCAUGAACCAUUCUUUAAAAUAAAUUAAUCAAAAAUAACCUCGCGACAUUCAAUUUGAAAUAGUGCACCGAAAGUAGAAAUUAUGAGCUCAUUCCCAGGAAAACUUGACAUAUUUUGCCCUUCAUUUAAAAUUUUCACUGCAAAAAUCAGUUCCCUCACUCAAAAUUGAAAAAAGCGACAACGACAAAAGUUCUACAGUAAUUGCUGUAAGUUAACUCUGAGGGGCAGACAAACAGGCAUAGUCAUGAAAAUCUAGUCGAUCAAGCGCCAAGCACUCGCAACGUCGAAUUCCUAACUCGGCCCUCUUCAAACCCCUCUUCGACUCAUCGGAUCAUGCACACACAGACACAUCUUAAUCCAUUGUAAAACAUAGAAAGUGAGCACGCCAAAGCACGGAGGACGAUAAAUCCGCAGGCCUCGGACCGCAGCCUCUCUCCUCUAAACGCAGGACUUACCUUGAGGGCGGCGGCACCGCCGCCGUAAGAGCCGUACUGGACGGCGUGCAUGAGCUUCCCCGCCGGAGCGGCCAUGGCGGAAAAGGGCGGAGGAGGGCGCUCCGACGGGGAGAACUGCGAGCUUCCUGCGGAUCAAGCAGAGUGAGGACGCGAAGAAGCGAGAGCGCACAAGUCGUCGUAUUCCCCGUCCGUCGCAGAGAGGUGGCGGAAGCGGGAGGGAGGUGGAGCGCCUUGUGGAUCCCGUCACUGGUCACCAGUGCCGUCUCUGCCGAACGCGGCCCUCUCUUUCUGGGCCCCACUGAAAUGGACCCGACUAUGGAACACGGGCUGCUCAUAUUGAGCCGAUUCUCCCCUUCGGUGACACGGUUAUUAAAAAUAGACCCUAUCAAAAAUUUAAUUUUCAAUGGGUCGCCUGUUCCAUUUCGAGUGAGGAAGAGCACCCGGUCCGAAGUAAGAGGGCCGGGCCUGGCUGAGGGCAUUAAACCAUUUAUAAUAGUAAUUUGGGUUUUACGUAAAAAUGUAUUUUCUCUGCCCGUAAGCAGGUCUGGUGAACGUUGUGGCUGUGCCGGUGGCCGGACGUGGCCGAGCUCGAUUCAAUGUGAUGCCAGCCUAUUUUUUUCAUAAAUAGAUAAUGAUAGUUUUCACACCAGAUUUGGAAAUUAAUGAUCAUAAUUCUCACAUUAUAUAUUUUUUUAAUACAAGAUUCAUAACUUGGUUCAUACAAAUUAAUGUAAAUAAUGUCGUUUAGACUAGUCAAUAAAGUCGUGGCCUUUCUAGUAGGACCCCCUCCGGAUCAUCUCUUCCUCAUGGAAGAUUCCGAUUCCAAAAAACAAAGACGAUAAAAUAAAUAAUGUCAAUGAUUUGAUGCAGAUUAAAUAAAAAUAAAACGAAAGAUGGAUUUCUUUAUUUUGGCAAUUAUAUUUAUUUAGAAUAUCUUUAAAACAUUCGAAUUGAUUAGGACCCACAAAAGAACAUAACCAGGAUAUUAUAUACCGUCAUAGUAUCGAUACAUUAAAUAUUACAUUUUUCAAGAUAAGUAGUUCGAUGAGAUUCUUCCCACUCAAAAGCAGCAGAUGGAGCAGCUCAAUGGGGGUGAGCAGGACGUUGACUUGGCCUCUAUGGGUCUGUCUCCACGACGAUCUUCCCCGUGGCGUGGCCGUCGAUGCUCCUCGCCCAGGCCGCCUCCGCCUGGCUCAGAGGAUGCCUCGAGUCAACGAUCGUCUUCAGCUUCCCUUCCUUCACCAGGCCCACCAAAAACUCCAGCUCCUCCCGCUUGGGGAACACGAGGAGGGGCACCAGCUGCUUCUUGGAGAAGGUGAGCUUCUUGAUGGCGGCGGUGAGGAAGGCGGUGGCGUUGGGGGUGAUGUCGAUCACCUUCCCACUUUCCGCCAGUGUGGGCUCGAACGUUGACCAGGGGAUCCCGGUGGCGCAGUGGAUCACGGCGUCGUACUUCUUCCCGGAGGGGCUCUCCAAGGCGGCGCCGCCAGGGGUCUUGUAGUCCAGAACCUCGUCGGCGCCCAGAUUCUUCACCAGCUCCAGGUUCCUCGCUCCGCAGGUGGCGGUGACGUGGCAAUUGCCCAGCUUUGCCAGCUGGACAGCAUAGAGGCCCACCCCGCCGGAGGCGGCAGUGACCAGGAUGUUGGCGGCUUUCUCGCCGCCACUGCUGCCAAAGCUGAUCCCGGCGGACUUCAGGGUCUGGAGGGC
rnacentral:lncRNA from 1 species